UGAAUACGAGACGCUAAGGCGUCGAAGUAGUGUAUGUCAUACUUCCAAGAAAAGCUUGCACUGUCAUAGAUAAAAAACGCCUGUACCAUAACCGACACAGGUGGGUAGGUAGAGUAUACUAAGGGGCGCGAGAUAACUCUCUCUAAGGAACUCGGCAAAAUAACUCCGUAACUUCGGGAGAAGGAGUGCCUUAUUCUUAAGGUUGCAAUAACAAGAUCCAAGCAACUGUUUAUCAAAAACACAGGUCUCCGCUAAGUCGUAAGACGAUGUAUGGGGGCUGACGCCUGCCCAGUGCCAGAAGGUUAAAGAAGCUGGUUAGCAUUUGCGAAGCUAGUAACUGAAGCCCUGGUGAACGGCGGCCGUAACAAUAACGGUCCUAAGGUAGCGAAAUUCCUUGUCGGGUAAGUUCCGACCCGCGCGAAAGGCGUAAUGAUUUGGAUACUGUCUCGGAGAGGGGCUCGGUGAAAUAGACUUGUCUGUGAAGAUGCGGACUACCUGCACCAGGACAGAAAGACCCUAUGAAGCUUUACUGUAACUUGAAAUUGAAAUUGGGCUUUAUUCGCGCAGUAUAGGUGGGAGGCGUUGAUUAUAAUCUUGCGGGAUUAUUGGAGCCAUUAGUGAGAUACCACUCUUGUAAUGUUAGAUUUCUAACUUUGAAUCAUUAUCUGGUCAAAGAACAGUUUCAGGCGGGCAGUUUGACUGGGGCGGUCGCCUCCUAAACGGUAACGGAGGCGUACAAAGGUUUCCUCUGAACGGUUAGAAAUCGUAUCUAGAGUGUAAAGGCAUAAGGAAGCUUGACUGUGAGACCUACAAGUCGAGCAGGGACGAAAGUCGGUCUUAGUGAUCUGUCGGUACUGAGUGGAAAGGCCGUCACUCAACGGAUAAAAGUUACUCUAGGAUAACAGGCUGAUCUCCCCCAAGAGUUCACAUCGACGGGGAGGUUUGGCACCUCGAUGUCGGCUCAUCGCAUCCUGGGGCGGUAGUACGUCCCAAGGGUUGGGCUGUUCGCCCAUGAAAGCGGUACGCGAGCUGGGUUCAGAACGUCGUGAGACAGUUCGGUCCAUAUCCGGUGUAGGCGUUAGAAUAUUGAGAGGAGCCUUCUUUAGUACGAGAGGACCGAGAAGGACAUACCUCUGGUGUACCAGUUAUCGUGCCAACGGUAAACGCUGGGUAGCUAUGUAUGGAGUGGAUAACCGCUGAAAGCAUCUAAGUGGGAAGCCCACCUCAAGAUAAGUAUUCUCU
rnacentral:rRNA from 1 species